UACGUAGGGUGCGAGCGUUAAUCGGAAUUACUGGGCGUAAAGCGUGCGCAGGCGGUUCGUUAUGUCCGAUGUGAAAGCCCCGAGCUUAACUUGGGAAUGGCAUUGGAAACUGGCGGGCUGGAGUGCGGCAGAGGGGGGUGGAAUUCCACGUGUAGCAGUGAAAUGCGUAGAGAUGUGGAGGAACACCGAUGGCGAAGGCAGCCCCCUGGGCCGACACUGACGCUCAGGCACGAAAGCAUGGGGAGCAAACAGG
rnacentral:rRNA from 1 species